rnacentral:lncRNA from 1 species
GCUAUCUUAAAAAGAAAAGGCAACUUAAAUUUUCUGUCUUUGCAGGGUGUUGCCAAUGUCUUCAGCAAUGCUUACCACUAUGUUCACAGCAGGGAGCACAUCUUGCAUGUUGUGAUCACUGGCAUUGGCUGGCUGCUCAGCAACACUUCCAGCAUUGUCUCCAUCACUACCUAUUUUGUUGAGGCCAGCCCAAACCAGGAUUCAGACUAUGUUUUACGCAAAAUGAUGGCCACAGGGCAACAGGGUCUAACAGAAAUCCACGCCAAUCCUCCUACCAUUCUCAGGAAGUCAUGCAUCUUCAGUAUGUUAACAAGUAUUUAGUGGACCGUAUUUGUUCCUUUGACCCAACUGCUAGCCAUAUGAAAGUUAAUUUACGGGUUAUUGAUGAAAAUAUCAGAGAUCAUUCUCGAAUUGAAGUAUGGAAAUUUGGAAAUAUUGUUAUCGAACUCCUGUACCACUGGUUGCACAUCUGUUCAGCUCUCAUAAAGCUAACCCAAAAACUGGACGGUUCUAUUAGACCUCCAUUUCCCUCCAAGUCUGACCAACAUAUGUAUGCCAAAAUGCCAGGGGAAACUUGAUCAGGAAAAUCCUAGCAGAAUUGGUACUCUAUUUAGGAUACAGUGCUUUGAUAAUGUCCAUUGCUGUUAACUUUAAAAUAUCUUCAAGUGCAAAGAGUGAAGUUUAGACAUAUUUGGGACCUAGACAUUUCCUUUAGUACUUUUUAAAAUCAGAAGUGCUACCUAUGCAGAAAUUUUGUCUAAGAAAUAAUCCGGUUAAGGUAACUACAACCAAAUGUAUUUAAGAGUAUUAUAAAAUAUGUUUGAAGUCCCCUUUGUGAUGUGAGCUUUGGAUAUGCCAAAGAGACUACAAUAGUUGAUUGGGUAUUUUUCACUCUUUUGUGGUACAAACUACAGAAAACUGUGGAUUUAUAUAAAAA